rnacentral:rRNA from 1 species
AGAGAGAGACAUGCGCGCAUAUCAAUAAGCGGAGGAAAAGAAACUAACAAGGAUUCCCUUAGUAACGGCGAGUGAAGCGGGAAGAGCUCAAAUUUGAAAUCUUCAAGGUUUUACCUUGACGAAUUGUAGUUUAAAGAAGUGUUUUCCGCUGAAGUUUUGGUAAAAGUUCUUUGGAAUAGGACAUCAUAGAGGGUGAGAAUCCCGUAUUUGACCAUUAUUUUCCAGCUUUGUGAUACACUUUCAAAGAGUCGGAUUGUUUGGGAAUGCAGUCCAAAAUGGGUGGUAAAUUUCAUCUAAAGCUAAAUAUUGGCGAGAGACCGAUAGCGAACAAGUACCGUGAGGGAAAGAUGAAAGGAACUUUGAAAAGAGAGUUAAACAGUACGUGAAAUUGUCAAAAGGGAAGCGUUUGACACCAGUGUUGUUUUCUCGAAAAUCAAUUAAAAAUGGCUCGAUUUUGUAUUGUUGAGACCUUAAAAGCUCACUGUACAUUUUUCGUGUCUUUUUUAAUGCACUUUUCGUUUAACAAGUCAACAUCAGUUUCUUUUGUUGUAAAAGGGUCAUUGGAAGGUGGCUUUCUUUUCGGAGAAAGUGUUUAUAGCCUUUGGCCUCUGCAAUCGAAGAGACUGAGGUCUGCAGCGUAGACUCUUCGGGGUUAGAUACAUUUGUGCUAAGUUAUAGCUUUUUAUAGACAACUUGUUGACUAUAAUUAGUCUUGUAGCUUACUCGCUUAUGCUAUUUUACCUACGCUUAGGAUGUUGAAGUCAUCGUAUCGCGC